rnacentral:rRNA from 1 species
CAAGAGCAUAUGAAAAAGUUGUUGCGAUUAAAGCACUCGUAGUUGGACUAUUGAUGGAGUCCUUUGACGGUCCAGCUCGAUAAGAGCGGAACUGUCGGGACCCAUCUUGUUUCCAGGAAAGCGCUUCUGUCAUUAAUUUGAUGGGAGAUUGCACCUGGAUAUUUCACUUUGAAUAAAUUGGAGUGUUUAAAGCAGACACUAUUAUAGUCAUUGUACAUUUUAGCAUAGGAUGAUAGAAUACGACCCCCUUCGAUUUCUGUUGACCUUGGCGAAGAGGGGUAAUGGUUAAUGGGGAUGGUGGAAGGCCAUUGUAUGGAACCGUCAGAGGUGAAAUUCUUAGAUCGGUUCUAGACACACUGCUGCGAAGGCGUUGAGCCAACGACGUUUUCGUCAA